rnacentral:rRNA from 1 species
GACGAACGCUGGCGGCGUGCCUAGUACAUGCAAGUUGAGCGCUGAAGGUUGGUACUUGUACCAACUGGAUGAGCAGCAAACGGGUGAGUAACGCGUGGGGAAUCUGCCUUUGAGCGGGGGACAACAUUUGGAAACGAAUGCUAAUACCGCAUAAAAACUUUAAACACAAGUUUUAAGUUUGAAAGAUGCAAUUGCAUCACUCAAAGAUGAUCCCGCGUUGUAUUAGCUAGUUGGUGAGGUAAAGGCUCACCAAGGCGAUGAUACAUAGCCGACCUGAGAGGGUGAUCGGCCACAUUGGGACUGAGACACGGCCCAAACUCCUACGGGAGGCAGCAGUAGGGAAUCUUCGGCAAUGGACGAAAGUCUGACCGAGCAACGCCGCGUGAGUGAAGAAGGUUGUCGGAUCGUAAAACUCUGUUGGUAGAGAAGAACGUUGGUGAGAGUGGAAAGCUCAUCAAGUGACGGUAACUACCCAGAAAGGGACGGCUAACUACGUG